rnacentral:rRNA from 1 species
AGGACGAACGCUGGCGGCGUGCUUAUCACAUGCAAGUCGAGCGGUGAUCCUCCUUCGGGAGGUGAUCAGCGGCGAACGGGUGAGUAACACGUGGGCAACCUGCCCCUCACACUGGGAUAAACCUCGGGAAACCGGGGCUAAUACCGGAUACGACCUCGAGCGGCAUCUCUUGAGGUGGAAAGCUCCGACGGUGAGGGAUGGGCCCGCGGCCUAUCAGCUUGUUGGUGGGGUAAUGGCCUACCAAGGCGACGACGGGUA